UGGGGAAUAUUGCACAAUGGAGGGAACUCUGAUGCAGCGACGCCGCGUGAACGAAGAAGGCUUUCGAGUCGUAAAGUUCUUUUAUAUGGGAAGAUAAUGACGGUACCAUAAGAAAAAGCCCCGGCUAACUACGUGCCAGCAGCCGCGGUAAUACGUAGGGGGCUAGCGUUGUCCGGAAUCACUGGGCGUAAAGGGUUCGCAGGCGGAAAUGCAAGUCAGAUGUAAAAGGCAGUAGCUUAACUACUGUAAGCAUUUGAAGCUGCAUAUCUUGAGAAGAGUAGAGGUAAGUGGAAUUUUUAGUGUAGCGGUGAAAUGCGUAGAUAUUAAAAAGAAUACCGGUGGCGAAGGCGACUUACUGGGCUCAUUCUGACGCUGAGGAACGAAAGCGUGGGUAGCAAACAGGAUUAGAUACCCUGGUAGUCCACGCUGUAAACGAUGAGUGCUAGGUGUCGGCGAAUGUCGGUGCCGCAGUUAACACAAUAAGCACUCCGCCUGGGGAGUACGUGCGCAAGCAUGAAACUCAAAUGAAUUGACGGGGUCAUAGCUGUUUCCU
rnacentral:rRNA from 1 species